CUCCGUUAAAUAUGAUCUAAACUAUUUAAACUACUUAGAAAUCAGAUUUCACGCACUUUCGAUAUUGUUUUUUAUCCAUCUAGUGAACAGAAAAAUGAAUGGCUGAAAAUGAAUAUUCUUUAAAAAAUGAUGAUAGGAGUCUUGUAAUCAAGAUCAAGAGUAUAGAUCUUAUUUUAAAUAGUUUAAAGAAUUUUCUAACAAAAAUUUAAUUGAUUUGGAUAUCUUUACACCGUUAAACGAGAAAACGUCUCUUAUCCACCAUUAAAAUUACAAAUUUUGAAACCCUUUGAUUAUUAGGCAAAUGAUGUCGAAAAGAUUUGAAAUUUGAUUUCUCAACACUUCAAGUGGUAUAAAUCAUGUUCAACGGAGCCGAUCGUCAAUUUAGAAGCUCUAUCAUCGAAAACAACUCGAUAGUAAAACGGCUCGUUUACUAUCGAGAGUAUUCUAGCUCAACUCCUAAUACCUAUUUCUGAAAUAGACCGUCCUUAUUUAUACUCGAAGAAGAAAACGGAGCCUCGGAGGGACACUUCCAAAACUACGCAAUCAAUCAGUGACUGUGUCACAGUGGUACUUGAAGCUGUUCUCCGCUCCAAAUCACAGCUUAAGACCCGGGUCAUUUGAUCCCAGUAAUUGUGCAGCACAUGGUGCAUCAUUCAGAAACCAUGUUCUCACCCCCACAUGCUAUAAAUAUCCAACUACUAACACCCCUUCCCAGCAGAGGAAAUUAAUAAGAGUGAGAAAAAUUAAGGCUAUGCUAAGAGUGUAGGGAGAGAGAUAAAGAGAGAUUACAAAGAGAUGGCCUUCAAAGGAGAAGUAGAUCUAGUGCUAAUGCUGAUGUUAAUUGCUGUUAUUUGCUUCAGCUUCUUACCUACUCCACAAGCUCAGCUUCAAGUGGGCUUCUAUGACACUCUCUGCCCUGCAGCUGAGCUCAUUGUGAGAGAUGAGGUGCAGAAAGCCAUGAACAUCAGCCCGGGCGCCGCCUCGGGGCUCCUGAGGCUGCAUUUCCACGACUGCUUCGUCCGGGUUAGCGAUUAUAUUGACAAUUUUAUUUCCCUUUCUUGUUAUAAGGUGCGGUGUAUAUUGACGCGCGUCGUCGUCGCGGUUUCGCUCGACAGGGUUGUGACGCGUCGGUUUUGCUCGACUCGACGGCGAAUAACACCGCGGAGAAGGACGCGCCGCCGAACACAAGCCUGCGGGGGUUCGAGGUCGUCGACAGCGCCAAGUCGCGGUUGGAGGAGGCCUGCUUCGGAAUUGUUUCCUGUGCAGAUAUUCUGGCAUUUGCAGCGAGGGAUAGCUCUGUGCUGGUAAUUAAGCAACUGCAUCACAAUUUUCACUUCCUUUUUUCCAUGUUAAUGGACUAAAGUAACUCCAAUUUUGAAUAAUUUAAUAUGAAUUUGUAUGGUUAUAUAUAUACACUGAUCCAAAAGAGUAAAUUCACUGUUGAUAUAUACAUAACUAAAAUUCAGCGAUCCCACGCUUGGAAUUUGCUUAAUUUUUGUUAGGAACUUCUUUUGAGUCUUCAUUUGUUGCUCCCAUCUAACUCAAUGCCUUUAAUUUUUAUUUUUCUUUUUUCUUUUUCUCCUUUUAGGACUUAUAUAUGAUAAGAUUUAUACAUAACUACGUAAAAUCUGAAAAAUAUUCUUAAUUUUUGCCUAAUGUGGUGAAUUCAUAAGUAAUUUAUUGGAUACAUUGUAUUUCGGUCCUCAAAUUUUAGUUUGUUGCAAUUUUUUACUCAAAUUUUUUUGGAUUGUUUCAAUCUAAUCAUAUAACUCAAUUUAAUUGACUACAUAUUAAUGUAUUGUUAAUAUAAAAAUUAUAUAACAGUGUUGUGAUUGAUGAUACGUCAAUAAUUGAAAUGGUAUAUUACUUUUAUAUCAAAUUGCGCCAAUAUUUAGUGGGUUGUGCGACUUAAUUGCAAGCGUCCUAAAAAUCUGAGCAAAAAGUUUCAACAAAUUAAAGUUUUGAGAGCUACAAUGUUCCUAUAGCUCGAGGACCAAACGUGCAAUUUAUCCUAAUUUAUAUAGCGCUUUUAUUCAUGUAUACUUUGUACGUAGUCUAUGUUUCAUUGAUUAUCAAGUACAUUUACGCUUGCUAAGUUUAUCAAAUCAUUCAAUGCAGUAAGCCCAAAUGUAGCAUUCAAAAUUUGAAUCUUCCUUUUAAGUUUUAAGGAAAUAUAAAUUGCACUUUUCAAAAAAAGAAAAAAGAAAAAAAUUAAAGAGGAAAUAUAAAAAACCAAAUUGAGAAAAACAUAGUUCAAAAUGCAUACAUUAUUAAACAAAAUAUACUAGGAAUAUGGAGAUGAGCACAUUCCCAUUGCGCCAGCUAAUAAAUUGUCCCAUGCAAUUUUAUAUAUAAUAUCACUUCAUGCACGCAUGACACCCCAUGUGACAUGUACUUUAUCCAUAUGCCAAUGACUUUGUCUUUUUGCGUGGUAGUGUUCUCCACAUUACCACAUGGUAACUAGUUAACCCAACAUGGAAAAUGAAUAAAUAUUCGUAAAAUUUCUUUUGUUGGGGGAAAAAAAAAAGAAAAGAAAAAGAAGUAGAAGAGAGAAUCAGAUUCUUUUUGAUCCACAUUGUUUAGCAAUGUUUCCAAUCUCAAAGUUACUUGAUUCCUUAUGUAAUGUAUAAUAUACAUACAUGUUGUGAUUAAUAUUAUCUUGUGGUGAACAGAGUGGGGGACAAUCUUAUCCAGUCCCUGCAGGGAGAAGAGAUGGGAGGGUUUCAGUCUCCCAGGAAACAUUUGGGAAUCUCCCUCCCCCAUCAUCUGAUCUCAACCAACUCACCCAAAUUUUCGCCAACAAAGGAUUCACCCAAGGUGAAUUGGUCACACUCUCAGGUAAUCCAAGUCACACUAUUAUAUACAUAUAUAUAAUAUAUAUUUCCUUAACCAAAAAUCCUUAAAAAUCAAAGCCCAGAUCCAUAGAUCUGAUGAAAUAGUAAUCUUCUUCGUUAUAAGUCUUCUGAAACAAACUCACAUUAGUAGAAGAAGCUUCAAAUUGCAGGCUCUGCCCAAUCUUUUAACAUCUGUUUUUCGGAACAGAGAAGCUGUUCUAAAGGUCAUGCGAGUGGACAUUUCUUAAAAACAAAAGACACGAAUAAAAUUGACUAACUAAAAUCCCUUAUGAUCGGCAUUUUACAGGAGCGCACACAGUCGGUGGAUCGCACUGCAGCUCAUUCAGCAACAGGAUUUACAACUUUAGCGUCACCGCAGGCGAAGACCCAACGCUAGACCCAACGUACGUGACCCAGCUACAGCAACAGUGCCCACAAGGGGGCUCCAACGCGAGCUUGCUCGUGCCGAUCGAUCCGAUCAGCCCUAACACAUUCGACUCGAGCUACUACACCGCUCUCCUGGCGAAUCGCAGCCUGUUCUCGUCCGACCAAGCUCUUCUUGACUCCGACGCCACCUCAGGUCAAGUGAUCCUGUACGCGAACGACACGGACCUCUUUCUAAGCGAUUUCGCGGCUGCGAUGGUGAAGAUGGGGCAAUUGGAUGUCCUCACUGGCACCAAUGGAGAGAUCAGAUCCAAUUGCAGGGUAACCAACUAAAACUAUGUAUGUUGAUUAAGGAAAAGUAUUAAUUGUUUGAUUAAUUGUUUAUUUGUGAGUAAUAGAGUUGUUUAGCUAUUUAUCAUUUUUCUCUGCCAAAUAAGACCAAAUUACACAUAGCUAAAGGUUGAUUUUGUACUUAAAUUUUGUGUAUGUGUAUUUUGUGUUAAAUAGAGUUACAAAGAGGUAACUCUAUAUAUGAUCUUUGCAAUAGGCCCCUCCUAUUUGGAAACAGGAGCACAAGGGGAUCCAGCUCAUAGCUUCAAUAAUUGAGUAAGCUGAAACAGUUGUGACGAGGACAAAUCUAGCAUCUAAUGAUCUAACUUUGACAACUAAUCUUAAGUAUGAAACAAAUUAAUGGUACCAAUUAUUAUUAAUGUUUGAUAGACACUUAUGUUUAAUGUUGUAUGAAAAAGUAGAAGCACCGACGAAGCACGUCAACAUCGAUGAGCGAGAAAUAAGAAAAAUGGGUCCUUCUCAAUUAUGUUUUAUCUUCGUAGUUAGGAUUAAUCCUCGUUCUCUUUAGAAAAUAAUUAACAAUUUCGUGUCAUCUAAAGACCUGUUUAACGAUGUAGAAAUAUACUUUUUAGUUUUUCUAAUAAGACUAAAAAGAUAAUACAUCAAUUGAACUAGUGCGAUCUACACGAUAUUUUAUUACUGAAUAAGAAAUGGUACUAUAUAUAUAUAUAUAUAUAUUUUUUUUUGUGUUGGUGACGUAUUUUACACGCAAUCUCAAACAGAACCUAGCGAACAAAAAUGGAGGUUCUAGUUUUAAGUUACACCAAUAAUUCAUUGCAUGUUCUCUUUUUUGUUAAUGCACGUCGCUUUCCCUCCUUUAAAAGUCGGUGGCAUUUUCUCUCCUUUUUUAGCUGCUAAGAUCCCACAAGGACAGCCCAUGUUCUCCUUUUCCUUAAUACUGAUAAAAAGCCAAUUUUUAACUAAUUUUGUAUAAAGUUAUUUAUAUAAUAUUUAUAUAAAAACAUUGAAAAUUAUAUUGUAAUAAAUAAUAUUAAAGUAUAAAACAUAAAUAGAGAAAACUGAAAAAAAAAAAAAAAAGUGAAGUAUGUUCACUUAACAAGAACCAAAUCAAUAAAAAUCUAAACAAUACCAAAUCAAGAAUCACCAGUCUCACAUAAUUGCCAUACAUUUGCGGCCAUAUUUGGAUGUCUGAGAAUAUCAUUCCGCGAUAACUUAUUCGAAAUGAAGUUUUUUUUUUGUAAUUGAAAAUAAGAGCUUUAUUUUUGCUGUAUGAUUUGAUAGAAUAAUAUAUGAUACAUAUGAGGCUAGUUAUAUUAUUUUGAAAAAAUGACAUGAAGGAUCGUUGAAAUAUGUCGAUUAUUUUUUUUUUUUUUGGAAAAUAGAUAGUAUGCUAUUCGUUUCGUUUAUUUUAUUCAAAAAAAAAUUUAGCUGAAAAUAUGAAUCAACUAGAAUUUGAACUUGGUACCUCGUGUACCAAACAUCAAGCCCUUUGCCACUUGCGCCAAAAAUAUGUCCAUUGUUACACACCACAAAGUUGGGGCCUUAAUAGGCUUCUUAAAGAGGCAUGGGUAUUUUAACCGGGCCCAUUUCCGGAGGAAGUUCCGAUAUAUCAAUUGAUUUUUGUUUUCCUUUUUUUUUUGGAGAAAUAUAAAUUGGUUAUAUAUAUAUAUAUAUAUAUAUAUAUAUAUAUAGAGAGAGAGAGAGAGAGAGAGAGAGAGAGAGAGAGUUUAAUUUGUUUUAAUAUAUGUUUCAAACUAUCAGAUUUGUUGCAAUCAAGUCUUAUAACCCAAUUUAGUUAAUCGAUGUAUUGCUAAUGUAGCAAUAAUUCAAUAGUGUUCUGAUUGAUAAUACGCUAAUAAUUAAGAUAUCGUAUUAUUUUAACAUCAGUGAUGAGUGAAUAUUUAGUCAACUAAAUUAAACUGCUCGGACUUGAUUGCAACAAUUAUAAAAAUUCGAACCAAAAAUUUUAUCUAAGUGAAUAUUUAAUAACUAAUAUGCCACACCUCUCAUAGUUUGAGGACUAACGUGCAAUUUUAUCAGCUCGAUUUGGUUAACAACACAAUCUAAUCCAUUGACUAAGUUAACCAUGUCAAAAUAUUUCUUUUUUUAAAAAAAUAUUUAUUCUAACACUAUGCUUGUGCUAUUCUCCUAAUAGCUUGCCAAUUACAGAUAAAAUCAAAAGUGAGAAAAAGUGGUCACUGGUCCAUCAGUGUAAACACAUUAUACACAGUAGCACUACACAAAAUCUUUCCACAAAACCUAACAAUUUGCUCUUCUAUCUUUUUCUCUUCGCACCGACUGUCCCUAGAGCAAGUGGCAAAAGGUUUAGUGGUUGGUAUCCGAGACCUAAGUUCGAAUCCUGAUUGAUUCACAUUUCUAGCUAAGUCUAUUUCUAAAUGAAAUAAAUGAAGCGGAUAGCGUGCUACCUAUUUGUCAAAAAAAAAAAAAUCUUUUUCUCUUCGCCAACAUUUCGAUAAACUAAAUUGCACUUUUAAUUCUCAAACUUUAAUUUAUUAUAAUUUAUUAUAAUUUAUUAUUUAUUUUUUAAAUUACUUUAUUAAGUAUAAUAAUAUGUCACUGAUGUGAUAGUGAUGUGAUAGUAUCGAAAUCAUCGAUAACAUAAAAAUUUCUAAGAUACCACGCAUGCAGUAGUCGGUUAACUGAACUAUAAUGUAGGACUUAAUUAUAAUAAUUUUAAAUAUUUUGUGCCAAAAACUAUAUUAAAUUAAAAUUUCCGGAUUAAUGUACCACCUAUCUCAAAUUUUGAGGAUCAAAUUAGGGUUUUUUGACAUCUUGUGUUAGAGCGUUGAUGACAUGGAGACACCUCAAUGCCUUUUCUUUUACCUGAGAAAGAAAAAUAAAAUACUACAUAUUUUAUUUAAUUUUUUUUUAGAGAAAAAUAAUAUACUAUUCGCUUCGUUUAUUUUAUUAUUUUGUUUAAUUUUUUAAAAGAUAAAAAAAAAAAAUGAAGAACACUAGUUUCUAGAAGAGUAUGAAUGUGAUUUAUGUAGCCAUAAAAAAGGAAUAACUUUAAGACUAAGUAUAUGUCAAAAGCAGGUGGGGGAAGUUUCCUUGAGCCUGUCAUUUUUGACAGUGAUGUGAAGCUAACUUACUGCUUUUCAAAUAGUUUUUUUUUUUUUUAUUUCGAGAACAAAUGUUCGUGUUUUACAGAUUUUUGCUGUAGUAGAAAUUUAAAUAAAGUUUCGAAGCCUGAAGAGCAUGUCCACGAUCAAACUUAAAUUUUGGAUUCUGCUGCAAAGAAAAGUUAUUCAAGAGUAUUGGAUGACUAGCUGUACUGUCCCUAGUACAAAUAAUAAAGGACUUUGAUGGUUAUUAUUAAAGAUUUUAAAUUUUAAAUUUAAUUAUUUUAUAAUUUUAGUUAAAAUUUAAUUUUAGAAAAUAAACGAAGCGAUAGUAAUACUAUUAUUUUCUCUCUCAAAAAAAUAAAAAAUAUUUCAUGAUUAAAUUAUAUAUGUAUAUAUAUAUAUAUAUAUACCCUAGGGGGCCCACUAUCAACCUAACCGUAACCACUCUCAUCCCAACCGCACAUUUUUUCAUCUGAACGGCCGAAAAGUUAUGAGUACAAAGGGCUCUAUACUCAUAUGAUUAUAGUAGCCCCAGUCUAUAUACAUUUAAGUGUCGUGGCACGAGGUCGUGCCAGAAACUUGCCGGCACGGUACGGCACGGUGCGUGCCGAGCCGUGCCGAUACGUGCCAGUUAAAAAAAUUCUUGUGUGCCGACACAUAAUAGCGUGAAAUAUUUAUUUUCUUUAGCAACAAAAUAUUCUAACUAUUUAUUAUGUUUUUUUAUCACAUCUUUUAAGCUUUAUUGAGGAAAUUACUUACUAAUUUAAAGAAUAAAGAGUUUUGAGCUGUGCCAUCAGCACAGGGUCUGUAUUGUGCCGGUAUCUUGUUGGCACAGUACGGCACGGUGGAUACGGCCCGUAACGACGGGCACUUAAAACCUUGCCUGGGGGCUUCGGCCGUAACUCAAGGUGUGACAAAUAUAUGCAUGUUUUGUAAAAGCAACAUAUGUAGGUAAAGAAUCAGAUGAUGGCGUACCAAUUUUAAUAGCCCCUUUUGUUAAGAGACUUUACUUCUCACUAGAUCCAAGAACUCCUCGUCAUUCUAAAAUGCAAUGGUUGUAAUAUCUGCCUAGGAAUCAAACCUGGCCACAACUCUUCUAUCUUGAAUUCAAAAGCUUGAACCUUAUCUANGUGUCGAUGUGUGCCGGUCAAAAAAAAUUUUGUGUGCUGACACAUAAGAGCAUGAAAUAUUUAUUUUCUUUAGCAAGAAAAUAUUCUAACUAUUUAUUAUGUCUUUUUAUUACAUCUUUUGAACUUUAUUGAGAAAAUUACUUACUAAUUUAAAAAAUAGAGAGUUUUGAGCUGUGCUAUCAGCACGGGGUUUGUAUCGUGUCGGUAUUCUGUUGGCACGGUACGGUACGGUGGAUACAGCCCGUACCGACGGGCACUUAAAACCUUGCUUAGGCUGGAACACUAUCAAUAGCACCAAACAUUUUGUGCUAUUAGAUUUUCGGCCCUUGGAUUAAAAAAUGUACGGUUAGGAUGAUGUGGACCACUAGGGUUGAGUGAGUUGUUGGUUUAAUAGUAUAAUCUAACGGAUGAAAAUAGUCAAAAGGCUAAAUUUAACGACGAAAAAUUUGAUAGCACGAAAUGCAUUGUGCAAUUGAUAUUAUUCCAGCGGGACUCUACAUAUAUAUAUGGCCUUUUUGCAUAAAAAAUUCACUUAUUUUGGGCUUUUGUAAAAUCGGGUAACCUUUUUCGUUUUUGCAGAUUCGGUCCGCUUUUUUCGCAAACUGAUCAAAAUACCCUUAUUACUUUUUCUCUUUCCUCUUUCUCUCUCCUCUUCGUUCUCUCGUUUUUUUUUUUUNNNNNNNNNNNNNNNNNNNNNNNNNACGCGGACGCGCUGCGGCUGCUUCUUCUUCGUCGUAAUGGUGUAAUGGUGCACCAUUACACCAUUAAUGGUGUAAUUACACCAUUACACCAUUACACCAUUAAUGGUAUAAUGGUGUAAUUACACCAUUAACGGUGCACGCUGCCCGCGAAGCGGAGCCGCAGGUGGAGCUCCGCCGGGCGUAGCCGGCCGAGGGCCUCCUCGAAGGGGGAGCAGGACACCCAUGGAGAGGUUGAGGGAGGAGAUGUCGAGAGACGCGACGGCGCGCUGGGACCCGGGCCGCGCGGGGGAGCAGGACACCCCUCGCCACGACGCGCAGGGCUCCGACGAGCUGGCGUUGGACCACGACGCGAGAGCCCCCGAUGGGUCUGCGAGCGCCGACCUCACCGCCAGAAGCGCCGCCACCUCCGCCGCCGCCGGCGACCCCUCCUCCGCCGCGCCGCCGCCGAGGACGACGACGAAGAAGAAGAAGAAGAAGUUGAUCUCACCAAGGGCAGGGAGGCAAUCAUGCGAGAUGAUCGGGCAGGCGCCCUUGUUCACUACAGCGAAUGCAGCCUGGACAGCUGUCAUGUUUGCAAAUGGAAGCAUCCCGGUGAUGAGCUCCCACAGCACAAUGCCGAAGCUGUACACGUCAACCUUUUGAUUAUAUGGUCUGUGCUGGAUCAUCUCUCUGAAAAGUUAAAAUUAGUUGUUUAAGGACGGACCCAGCUAAAAGAAAAGAAACAACUUUUGCUGGCAAUUAUAGAUUUUGUUAAAAAAUUUCUUCUGGUCAGGUAGUCCGACCAAUAUUCUAGGACAUAUUAGAGAUAUCCAGCUACUGUUAUUAAUCACCACACCAGGUAUAGAUUUCCAUAUACCUACAUUGUCCUUUUGCAAAUAGAUAUGUAGGACAAAGAAUAUUAAGUUUUCGUGAUAAGCAGAGAAAAAAAAAGUAUGCGAUAGGUAAUUUAAACAUGAAAACAUCAGCAUUCUUCAUACCUCGUAACUUGUAAGUAUACGCCAAUAUGAACGAAUCCAAUAGCAUAUGCAUCAAACUUAUUAAGUCAAUAAAUAUAUUUCAUUUAUAUCUUCUUCUUCUUCGUCGUCGUCCUCGGCGGCGGCGCGGCGGAGGAGGGGUCGCCGGCGGCAGCGGAGGUGGCGGCGCUUCUGGCGGUGAGGUCGGCGCUUGCGGACCCGUCGGGCGCGCUUGCGUCGUGGUCCAACGCCAGCUCGUCGGAGCUCUGCGCGUCGUGGCGCGGGGUGUCCUGCUCCCCCGUGCGGCCCGGGUCCCAGCGCGCCGUCGCGUCCCUCGACAUCUCCUCCCUCAAGCUCUCCGCGGGUGUCCUGCUCCCCCUUCGAGGAGGCCCUCAGCCGGCUGCGCCUGGCGGAGCUCCACCCGGGGCUCCGCUCCACGGGCCGCGUGCACCGUUUAUGGUGUAAUUACACCAUUAAUGGUGUAAUGGUGUAAUUUCACCAUUAAUAGGGUAAUGGUGCACCAUUACACCAUUAAUGGUGAAAUUACACCAUUAAUGGUGUAACCAUUGCACCAUUAAUGGUGUAAUGGUGCACCAUUACACCAUUACGACGAAGAAGAAGCAGCCGCAGCGCGCCCGCGUGCCCGCCCGCAGCCGCUGCGUGCACCGGCCCGCGUGCACCAUUACACCAUUACGAAAAAGAAGAAGCAGCCGUCGGAGAUCGCAACGGCGGCCGACGCCGCCCGAGCGGAGCGCCGGGCAGCGCGCGUGACAGCCGCCCUCGACUGGCGCGACGUCCCCGGCUGCGACACCCCGCUCUACCUCGCCGCCCGCCUCCCGCGCGCCCCCACCCUCGCCGCGGCGCUCGCGGUUGCCGGUGCAGACCCCUCCCUGCAGAACGCCGCCAGGUGGACGCCGCUUGGCGAGGCCGGAAAUCGCCGUGGCGCACCCCGUGCUCUUACAGGAAGAAGAAGAAGAAGAAGAAGAAGAAGAAGAGGGCGAAAAAAAAAGUUUCCAGCAGGGGGAAGAAGAAGAAAAGAAAAAGAAAAAGAACGAGAGAAAAAAAAAAAAGAACCGCCGACGGGUCCCGGCAGAAAAAAAAAAAAGACACGAGAGAACGAAGAGGAGAGAGAAAGAGGAAGAGAAAAAAGUAUAAGGGUAUAUUUGGUCAGUUUGCUGAAAAAGCGGACCGAUCUGCAAAAACGAAAAAGGUGAUCCGAAUUUUGCAAAGAGCCCAAAAUAGGUGAAUUUUUUAUGCAAAAAGCUAUAUAUAUAUAUAUAUAUAUAUAUAUAUAUAUAUAUAUAUAUAAUUGGGGAAUUCCUCUUUCUCUUACCCGAAAAGUCUACAACCUGAAGAAAAAUAAAAAAAGAAAAAAAAAAAAAAGUUAACAAAAAAGACAAGACUUAGAUUAUCUACAGGUUGGAGAAACAAAUUGUUGUGUAGCGAAAGAUGCUAAUAGUGUUGCAUCCUAAAACGGAAUGUGAUUAUUCUCAUCUAUAUAAAUUAAUAUUUGCUUGAAGUGUUCCAAAGUGUCAAUCUAUUUGAUAAUUUUUGAAAAAGUAGUAUAUUAUUCAUGCGAAAUAGUUAGAACUCAAACUUAAAAUAUCGAGUAUUAAUCUUCAAAUUUUUAAUCAGCUUAUUAGGUAUAUAUGAGCGGUGCUAGAUCAAGUUUAACGGAGCCGAUCGGCGAUUCAAAAGUCGCAACAUCGAAAACGAGCUGGAAGCACGGAAGGCUCCGUGCUUCCGAUAGCAUAGUAGCCUCACUCUAUAUAUAUAUAUUAUGUCUGAUGGAGCAUGAUCAUUGCAAUAUUAUUGUUUAAUUUCAAAAUGCAUCUGUAGCUCAUAGAACUCAGGAAAGUAAGAACAGUAUAUAUCAAAUGUAAAUUUCAAGGCUUCCUAUUUUCUUAUAUCAACUAGAGCUUAAAAAUUAGUGCAAAAUAAUACUUAAUAACACAUAUAUUAAGGCACUCAAAAUCUUAAAUUGAGUCAUAUUUCUACAAAGGUUACUUUUGCAUAUUAACUACCAACUUAUAACUUAGGGGAAACAACCUUACGAAUAUCAAAUGUUUUAUAAAUGGAAAAGAAUUAAGCACAACAACUGUGUGUUUUCUCCUUUAAAUGUUAGUAACAACAUGCAUGCAUUUCCAAUUUUGCGUAGUGUGUAGUAUAAUAUUUGUGUAACACAAAAUGUCUUUAGUUAUAGUUCUACCAACCUAUACUUGAAAUAUUGAAACAUAACUCGUGUCGGCGGCUAUUUGGUGUAUAUAUAUAGAUGUUUUGGCUGAAAAGAAACAAUGUAAAUUUUCAAAAUAAGAAAAAAAAACAAAUUUGAGCAUAUACUUUCGAACAUCUGGCGUAUGCUUAAAAUAAUAAUGUGGUUUCUUACCGAUUGUCCCUAGAGCAAGUGGCGUAGGGUUUGGUUCUUGGUACCCAAGACCCAAAUUUGAAUCCUAGUUGAUUCACAUUUCCAGCUAAGUUUAUUUUUAAAUAAAAUAAACGAAACGAGUAGCAUAGUACUAUUUAUCUCUCAAAAAAAAAAAAUAUAUGGUUUCUUUUUUGGUGAGAUUUUUUUUUUUUUUUUUCAUUCUUUGUUCUCUAUUUGGAUUUUAUAUUCCGUCUUAUUCCUUGAGUUGCUUCACUUUUAUAAUUAUAUUUAUUUUCCUAUUAUAUGAAGUGCAGCCUUUCUCUCAAAAAAAAAAAAGAAAAAAGAAAAAAAGAUCCUGCUCCUAAUUAAUGCUUCCAACAACUUAAUUAGUGUGCUCAUUUUCAUAAUUAAUCAAAUGUUCAAUAAAGAAAAAAAAAAAAAAAAAAACACUGUAAGCAAACUAUCAAAACAACAAAACAAUACAACUUUGGCAGGUGAAAAUUUUGUCAUCAUAUGUAGCGCGUAGAACGAACCUAAUAUAUCUGUGAAAAUUUGUACUAUUGGAAUUGGACAUCAACUUGAACGUAAGUUUAAAAAACUGAAGAAAAAAAACCAUUUAUACUAUUCCUUUCCAAUCACCUCAAGUGACUUCAUUGCCCGGGGGGUCAGCGCGGAGAAAGGGGAGCAUAGUUGUCAUAAAUUGCGAGCGCAGUAGCAGUCUUUAUAGCAAUAGAGGAAUAAUAUAGCUGGGUUCAUCGGUGUCGGCACACUCCGAAUUAGGGCACUCGAGAUUUACUCCGAAAAGCCUUAGUCGCUUCGUGGGGCCACCUUGCCCACCCGUAGGGUGAUUUCUGUAGUAGUACUCCCACGCUGGGACGAAUGAAGCCCUUUGCAGUACUGCUGCCGGCCCCCGCGGCCCAGCGCGGGUAGCCCAGCGAAUGAAGAGGCGGCCGCGGGCGCCGACGGCGUGGGCGAAGGAGACGGCAUCGCCCGCGCGGAGCCGCUUCUCCCGGACAAAGCGGCUCCAGCCUUUGGUCAUGACGUAGCUCUGGCUGCUGCUCCAGUAGGAGUACCGGAACCGCCACAGCCGCCCCGUGCGCUCCUCCUCGAAGCUUAGAACCACCCCCUUCCCCUCUCCCACCCGCCCGGGCUGCUGCCGCUGCUGCUGCUGCAGCGGAAAGUGCUUCUCCGCGUGCUGCUUCGGGAUCACCAGCCGGUUCAGCUUCCCAACGUCGCUCGGCGUCACGACUUUUUCGAACAUCAGCUCCGUCUCGACGUAAUUCGAGAGCCCGGUGAUAUCAUUCCGGUCGUGUUCCUCCUCCUCUUCCUCCUUCAUAUCCGUUGUAGGGGCAGCACAACAACAAACCUAGGAGUACUAAUGAGGUGCUCUAUAUAUAUAUAGAGAGAGAGACUCUUGUGUUUUUAAAAGCACGAGAUCGAGCACUUGUAUUUAUAACUUUUUAGCCAUCGGAUUAUUUCAAAAUUUGUGAAGCACGAAAGAGGAGGGGUUGUGAGUUAUGAGUAGGAAGAGGAAGGAGUGUAGAUUAGGCCGGUUAUCGUUGACCAUGGGGAGAAAAUGGAUGGGAUAUGGGUGGUUGAUUGUGAUACAUAAUAAUGCUCUUUAAUUUGUGUGCGGUGGUGUUUCUCAAUUUGUUUCUUUGCCACUGCUAUACGUUGCAUUUAUAACCUUUUGCAUGCCUGGGAGAUUCUUGGGGAAAAGAAAAAAAAAAAAAAACAAAGUGGUGGGCUAUAGCUUUUUAUUUGCUAAUUUAAGGAAUUAUAUGUUUACCUCGACUCAUAAUAUAAUAUAUUUCUGUAAUUUAAAAGGCUAGGCGUAUUGGGCUCGAAAUGAGUUUGUGAUCGUUUAUUUAAUAACGAGCCCAACACGAUCUGAGAUAAGCUCUUUCAUGUUGGGCUCGAUAUAACUCAAAUAUAUAUAUUGAUCUUGUUUUAUAUAGUAUAAAGAAUUUUCUAUUAAAAUUUCACGUGAUUUGGAUAUUUCUACACGGUUAAACUUGCAAACAGCUCACUACGGCCAUUGAAAUUUGUUGAUUUUGAGCCCAUUCGAUCACUAGGCAAAUGAUAUCGAAAAAUAAUAAAAUUUAUUUUCUAGGUACUCCAAAUACUCUAGAUCAAGUUUAACGGAGCCGAUCGACAAUUCGAAAGUCACAACAUCGAAAACGAGCUGGAAGCACGGAAGGCUCUGUGCUUCCGAUAACAUAGUAGCCUCACUAUAUAUAUAUAUAUAUAUAUAUAUAGAUAGAUAGAGAGAGAGAGAGAGAGAGAGAGAGAGAGAGAGAGAGAGAGNCAAGGUUAAGUAUUUAAUAUAUAGUUAAGUAAAUUUUUCUAACGAAUUCUAAUAACAUGAAUUUAUUUAAAAAUAUUAAAAUUUUUACAGAAAUAAUAUAUAAAAAUUUAAUUUUAUCGACAUAUAUUUAUAAAUUAAUAUAUUUGUAGGAACCUAUACACAACUAACCCACAGAUCACCAAAAAAGAUAUUAUUAUGCUAAUAAAUAAUAAAGUGUUGUACAUAGUAGUACUAUGGUGGUCAAGCGUGACAGAUUUUGUUGUUUCCAUUUAAGCCGUUGCAUGCGUAGGAGCCACACACCUGGAGCAAAACAGUUGGUCGACGCCUCAUCACGAAGACUCCUGCGUUCUCCUCCCACAAGAAAAUUAAUUUAAGCAUUCGGUAGUCGGUAGAAGUAGUUAUUUUAAUCACUUAACUCCGCGUGAGAAAAAAAAAAAAAAAAAAAAAAAGUGUAUAUAAAAACUGAGGACACUAAUACCAAUAAGUUAGCUUAAGCAUUUUAGGUCAGUAAAUUGGAUCCAAUAAAUUAUUAGUAUCAAUAAAUUCUGCCGUUACUUAUUGUAUCAAAGUAGAACUAUUCUGUUUUCCCAUCUCACUUCAACUAAAAACUGAAUAAAGGAGCAACACUUGCAAACCAAAAAGGAAUCAAAUAAGGAAAAAUAAAUAAAUACAUAAAGCAAGAAUUGCACAUUCUUUUCAUUCAAAUGAUUGUGUGAGAAGAACUCUCUCUCCAAUGUGUUAAAUGCUAAGCCACAUGGACACCGAUAUGGGACACGAGACACGACACAACUCAACUACCGCGACUCAACAACUUUUAAGAAAUUAGAACACGAACACGACAUGAAAAUUACUAAUAAAAUAUAAUAUUAUUAAUAUAAUUAUAUAUUUUUAUUAUGUAUAAAAUAUUAAUUUUGGUAAAAUAUUAUUAUAUUUUUCGUACGAAUAAAAGUUAAUAAAAUUUUUUUUGAUAAUUCAUAUAUUUUAAGAAAAAAAAUCUCCUUCAUACAUAAUUUAUUUAUAUUAUCAAAAAAAUUUAUAUGCAUUCAUGAAAAAGCUAAAAUUAUUAUCAUCUUACAUUAUAUAUGUAUAGAAAAAAUAAAAUUAAUAUAUAUGUAUAUAUAUAUAUGAAUUAGGCUGGAAUACUAUUAAUAGUAAAACGCUCUUUUUGCUAUCAAGUUUUUAAUCCUUGAAUGAAAAAUUGUAGGGUCAGGAUGAUGUUAGUCAGUUAGAGUUGAGUGGUCCCGCUAGGGUUGAGUGGUCCCCACUGGGUUAUAGUAUUUAAUUCAAUGGUUAAAAUAAUGAAAAGAGUUGAUUCAAAGGCUAAAAAGCUGGUAGCAACAAUGGAAUUUUGCUACUAAUAGUAGCCCAGUCCAACUACUAUACUAUUAAUAGCACGAAGCACUUGGUGCUAUCAAGUUUUCCGCCGUUAGAUCUACCCUUUUGAUCAUUUUCAUCCGUUAGAUCAUAUUAUUGAACCAACCACCCACUCAACCCUAGGGGGCCCACAUCAUCCUAACCACACAUCUCUUAAUCCAAUGGCCAAAAACUUGGUAGCACCAAUAACUUGAUGCUAUUAAUAGCAUAUUAGCCUAGUUCUAUAUAUAUAUAUAUAUAUAUAUAUAUAUAUAUAUAUAGUGCUUCGAGUUGUUUACCUUCUCAUGAAGAUUUAACUAAAUAGUGCUUUGGGUCGUCGAUGAAUAAGUAAAUAAAAUGUGCCUAGAUGAACUAAGCCCAACUUGUGGCGCCUCAAUAUAUGGUGCGUGUUUGGCGGUGCGGUCGCGCAAGUGUUCACGGUGUGGCGACUGUAGAAAAGGCUAGUUUUGAAAAAACUCCCGAAGAGCAACUUUCUCAAAAAGUUGUGUAGUGGAGCCCACAAGCAAGCCGCACCGCGCGGCCCAAUAAGCCCAUAGUCUCAUGCUGGAUGAAAAAAAAAAAAAAAAAAAAAAAAAAAAAAAAANAUGAUUUAAACCAUUUAAACUACCUAGAAAUCAAAUUUCACGCACUUUCGAUAUUGUUUUAUAUCCAUCUAGUAAAUAGAAAAAUGAAUGGCUGAAAAUGAAUAUUCUUUAAAAAAUGAUGAUAGGAGUUUUGUAAUCAAGAUCAAGAGUAUAGAUCUUAUUUUAAAUAGUUUAAAGAAUUUUCUAACAAAAAUUCAAUUGAUUUGGAUAUCUUUACACCGUUAAACGAGUAUAUAUUAAUUGUAUGCACUAUGGAUCGGCAUUAAUUGUAUGCACUAUGGAUCGGCAUUAAAUGAGUAUCUAAGGAGUGUCCAAAUUAGACACGUGUCCGAUACGGACACGUGAGGCUUACAGAAGUGUCCGUGAUACAUAGGUUAAAUGCCUUGGAAUAUAUACAUGUAGUUUAUUAAGGUCUAAUAGAGAGAGAGAUGGGGAGUCUGGUAUAUUUA
rnacentral:lncRNA from 1 species